CCGGGCGGGGGGCGCGCGCGCCGUUUAGGGUGCGGAGGCCGAGUGGAGUCCGCAGACCCCGCGGGGAAUCGGGGAGCGCCCCCUGGGGGAUGCCCCCCUAACCCCCCGGUGCCAGACAUAUCUCUGGGGAUCCCCCGGGGAUCCAGGACAAAUGCGACCCACGCUUUCUCCCCUUUCCCUUCCCGCAGAAAAGCGCCUCUCGCCGAAGUUACCCCGAGGUCCCCCGGGGUGAGAGCGAAGGUAUUGCCCUUUUGUCGAACCGCAGAGGCCCCUGAAGACGUCCAACUUAUUCGCCCUCCCGAGGGUCUUGCUGCGUGGCCGAGAAGGACCGCUGGGGAAGGGGGGAGAGAGGAAGCGUGCAUAGGGCUUCGAGGGAACUGGUCCCCUCCGCGCGCUCCCCGAGACCCGAGGACGGCCUGGAAACUUUGGGGGUCCCUUCCUCCGUGCACCCUCCCCCCGCGGCCCCCGCCCCCCGCGCCAGCUUCCCUACUGGAUUGAAUGCAGGUUCUGGGAAGAUAGGGCUAAGCUUUUUAAGAAACCCGCGAAAUGCCCGGAGAGGAAAGUUUGCGAAAAGUUCUUUUGUUUCAUGUUCGCAGUGGCUGGGGCGAGGGAGCAGACACUACGGGGUAACGCGACCCGCGGAGGCGCGCAGUCCUGGGUCCUGCUGGCGGGGGGCGCGGGGAGUGCGUGGAAAAUGCGCCCGAAAAUGCCGGAGUGCGGACUCUGGACUCCCAGUCCCGGCGACCCGUCCUGCUUGAGGGUCGAGGGGGCUCGCUGGCCAUCAGGGGCGGGAGGGCAUCUCUGUAUGGAUCGCGUUCGAGCGCGGCAGCUGGGCUAGACGGGGGUGCGGGUGGCACUGCGCUCGGCCUCGGGUCGCCUGGCCGCUCGGAGCCCGAAGCUUCCAGCCUGCCGCGCUCGCCCUCGCGGACCCCGGCCGGGGUGCCCCCAGACCCGGGGGAGUCUCUUCUCCGGCCGGGACGGCCGCGGGCAACACAGCCUCCCUUCCCGGCCUCGGUGGUGGGAACUGGGUUUCCCCUUCUCUGGCUCGAGGGUUGGAGCUGGUUUCCCUGCGACGCCCAGUGAGCGCCCUCUACAGGGAAAUGCCUCCUGGGCUUGCCCUUGUGCCUGGCGGCCCCUACCUGGGCGCCCCGAGCUUUGUCGGGCUGGGUGGGACCCCGACACCCGCGAGCGGGUCUGCAGCCUCAACGCGGUCCGGGGCCUCGGGUAGGGAGGACAGCUGUUUCUACCCCCAUUUCGUUCCCUAUACCUCCCCCCUUGGCUACUUAGGAACGUGUCCAUUUCUGAUAAACUGGACUGUCUCUUCCAAGACAAAUCAUGUCAUCUUUAGGGGUGGUUUUGUGCGUGUCCCCCCCACCCCCCCACGCCUUUGGCGUGUUAUUCUUCCCUUCUCUCCCCCCUCCUCCUUUUUUUUUUUUUUUUACUUUUAAAUUGAUACGAUUUAGGAUUGGGAAACCUUUGGCACCGAGCAGCCCAUGUGGCCUUGAUCAUCGGUGCGGAGGGGCUCUGGGUGUGCUAGCAGGCCCCCAAACGUUCCGCAAGACUGCAGAGCGUAGCCUGAACACAUGAAAAUUCGGGUGCUCCGGCUGGCUGUAGAACGCCGAGCCUUAAUGGCAUUUCUCUUUGGCAAACGAUCGUUUUUAUCCGUUGGGAUUGGUAAUCUCCCAGCCAGUUAUGAACUUUGGCUCUUUGCACACCAAAAGAGACAGAUUCUCUGUUUAUUUCAGAAAAGCAUAUUGCUCAUCUCGUUGCAAAACAGGGCAAAGGGAAAACUAUCUAAAGGUUUUCUGGCGAAGCCUGCCUAAAAAGAUGUGCUGGGCUAAGGAGGUCCCUUUUUGCUGAGUCCGGUUUGGGGAUUUGCUAGAAAGUGUUACUAUUCGAAGAUUCUACAGGAAGAAUGUCUCCUUGGGUUUUUUCUUAAAUCCAACAGUGAUUCAUAAGGAAGCUUUUUGGCUGAACUAUAGCUGUCUUCUCCCGUGACACCCUCCCCCCUGCCCCAACUCUAUAUCUUUGGGGUUCUAGUAUUUCUCAUUUCCAACCAGAAUUGGAUGCUUUCCAAAUGAGGUGUUUCACUGUUGUAGAUACCAUUUUCAGGAAUUGGAAUAUCAUUCAAAAGGGUAAUUAGAGAUUUUUAAAAUGUCAACUGUACCAUGAAUGAAGACUGUAGCAGAGAGUCUUUGUGAGGGAGGCAAUUUUUCUCAAAAGCAGCUGUUUCAAGGCCGAGGAAGGCCAGUAGUUCAUUUAAAUUACUUUUCAGUCUCUAUUUGUUGCAAGUGUAGCUGCAUAAAUGAAAGACUUCAUUUUUCAACAUUUUAGCCAUUCUAGUACAUUAUUUCCACUACUUUGCAUUUUAAUGGGAGAACUGCAACUGCUUCCCAGGAGUCAGAAAUAGUGAUCAUCUGAACUCAGAGCCUCUCUUUUUUUGUAAUGAAAAGUGUCUGCAGUUAGUGCAUCCUUGAGUUUUAUACCAAGUUCAAGGGGGAAAAGAAAAGGAGAUUCUCAGCAACUAAGGCUCAAGGCUAUCUGUCUGUGGAAAGGAACCAGUGGCCCUUGGUUUCUGCAUGCUGGAGACAGCCGGGAGAGCCUGGUCGUGGCCAUGCAUUUAUACUUCCCACUGACCAUGCGAGGGGAAAGACUGACGGAGUGUGGCAGUAGUGAUAUGCUGCUGUUUUUCUAUCAAUUUUUUACAUGAUUGUUUAUCUUUAGAAAUAAUACAUUGCAGACUGCUAUAAACACAUAAUUUGAACUGGAGGUAUGUUUAAGAAAAGGAAGUGUUUUGAACUAGUGGAAUUUUAUACCCAUGCUUAGAUGUGUGUAAAUUAAAAGAAACUGUCAAAUCAUUUGGACCCUUGCAUUACCUCUCAUGUAUUAUGAAAGGCAGGCAUUGGAAAGUUUGCAUUCAAAGGAAAAAUUAAAUUGGAACCAUAUAACCUUUUGCAGUUCCUUGAAAAAAUAAAUUUUGGCUGCUCUAGUAAUGUAGCUAAUUAUACUUGCUAGGGAAUCUUAGAGGAACAAGGGCUCUUUCUCUGUUAGAUGGAGUUUAGCAGUAGGUAGAUGUCUCUUAGAAAGGAAAGAUCUUAUUAAGAUCAGGCGUGUGGAAGAAUGGGUGUCCAGAGGAAUUUGAGUACACCCUCCAACUCCUACUUCUGGGACCUGGAACAUGUAAUUUUGAUGGUGCUUGCCAUUUGAGGGACUGCAUAACAUGAUUACACACGUGGCAUCUUGAAUAAUCACUAGUUUGGAAAGGAUUUCAAAAGAUCAUCUAGUUUUUUUUUUCCUGGGUAGAACUAGUCCUCAAGUCUCCAGAAGCCCCCUCAGUGACCUCACUGGCCAACUUAAAGGACCAGGAGUCUACCUACGCAAGUUGGCAAAACCCAAAGUUGACCCAACCACACAGAGCCUGGCCAGCUCUGUCAUUAAGGUUUAUAGGGAGUCCGGUUAAGUCACUGUGCUAUCGGCCUGUCUGCUGGCAGGGAUCUUUGCUCACAAGAGGAAUGUCAUCUGAGUUUAGAUUCUCAUGAGAUUGUCUCUCCUCCAUUGCCAAAAAUCAAACCAGAAGAUCUUGCCCAUCAUUUUCUUCUUCCUAAGACAGAAGACCUGCUGUCCCUGCCACUGUUGAAGGUACAUUCCUGUAUUUCAAAACCACCUGAUUGUUUCAUGCACCAGAAGCCAAAGAAAGUUUUAGAGAAAAGCAAGAAGUAAUGAAGAAGUAGCUUGUUUUUGUAGAAAACAAGCCACUCUUUUUUAGUCGCCUCUGCCAGUACCCUCAUCUUAAUUCUAGACUUUCAGAUUGGAGUCUUGAAGUCAGGUCCCUGACGUAUUCGUAGUUGCUGAUUUUGUGACCAGUUGACCACUGCCGCAGCGACAUGUUGUUCAUUCCGUGAUAUUUAUUCAGUGUCUACUAAGUGCUCAGCGUAAAGGCGUGAGCAAGCCAGGCAGCCUUUCUGUCUUCUUGGAGCUCAUAUUUUGGUGAUUGAGGUAGCAUUCCUUUUCACGUCUUUCUUUGUUGGGGCCUUGCCAACAUGUAAAGCUGAUCUGGUGGCUCAGUGGUAAAGAAUCUACCUGCCAGUGCAGGAGACUCCAGUUCAAUCCCUGGGUCAGGAAGAUCCCCUGGAGGAGGAAAGGACAACCCACUCCAGUAUUCUUGCCUGGAGAAUCCCAUGGACAGAGGAGCCUGGCAGGCUACAGUCUGUGGGGUUGCAAAGAGUCAGACAUGACUUAGCAACUGAACAAGCUAACAUGUUUCCCAUGUUAGCAGCCAUGUCGGCACCCUUCCUAGCCCAAACAUUUAUCCUGUUGGAUUUAUUUACAGGAUAAACCAAACAACACCUGCUCUUUGAUUUAUCCUGUACCACUUUGUGUUUCCCUUUUUACCCUGGUGUGGAGUCUAAAUACCUCUGCUUUUUCAGGUGGUGCUAGUGGUAAAGAAUCUGCCUGCCAAUGCAGGAGACAUAAGAGACAUGGGUUUGAUCCCUGGGUUGGAAAGAUCCCCUGGAGGAGGGCAUAGCAACCUACUGUAGUAUUCUUGCCUGGAACGUCCCAUGGACAGAGGAGCCUGGUGGGCUACAGUCCAUAGGGUCGCAAAGAGUCGGACGUGACUGAAGCCAGUUAGCAGAUUGCAAGGCACAGUUAGCCACCUCCCCGACCCCCAUCACUCUCCAUCAUGUCUCCCCACCCUCACCCACUGGCUUCACUUUCAUGAAUGCUCCCUGGACAUGGCCACCUCUUCAGUGUUUCUCCUUUUGAAUUCUGUUGAUUCAUAUCCACGCUCCCAGGGAACCUUUUAUGAUUGAUCUAGCCCUGUUUUUCUCUUUCUGUAAAUAGUACGGCAGACUCACAAUCCAGAUCACUAGAAGUAUGUAAAAAAUAAAGAUUUCAGGGCCUUCUAACAAUCAGAAGCCUAAAAGGGGGCGGGUAAUCUGUAUUUUUAUGAAGCAUCUCAAAUGAUGCUAAUAAAGUAGCCACAGUUGGUAACCACAGGUCCAGUCAUACACUUUACCCCUUCUUACAUGCUGUUUUGUAUUAGUCCUGAAACUCCCCCCAGGUGAGAACCUGUCACCCCGAGGACCAAGAUAGACAAAGGACUUGGGGCAGGGAGAUGUUGGCACUUUGCUGCUUACUUCCUGUUAGGACUUGGACAAGAUACUAAAUAUUUGAGUCCUUAAAAAAAUACAUAAUGUAUGUGUGCAUAUAAAUUGCACUUGAGAAUGCCUUUAUAACAGGACUGUUGUGAGGGUAAAAUGAGGGAGCAUAGGAAUCGUACCUAACGUACAGAAAAUAAUAGUUUGUUUUUUUUUUCUUUUUUUUUCUUGGGCUCUGUUUUCUUGGCUAUGAAAUGAGAGAGCCAUAUAUGAUGUUCCUGAAUCCCCUGAGCCCUCUGAGGCCAUGGAGAUUGGCCCCAUCUGAGGGGAGGGCCUUUGUUUCCAUACCUUUGACCGCUGCAGUAAACACCUGUUGAUGCUCCAUAUUUAAGCACAGGUGCCCAUGGUCUGGGAAGUUGGAGUCUAUCAGACCUGCUGACGCUCAGCUUUGCUGUCUGGAGGCCACUGAAGAUGGUGCUGUCUGGAAUCAGCUGAAUCCACCAGCCCGGGGGGAGGACCUGGGCUAGUUUGCUGCAAGUUUUGACACUGUCGACCUCAGUUUCAUCAACACUGUAGUGUUGGUGUGAAGAAUAAACGAGUCCAGUGCUUCCCAUCCGUGUACAUUCCUGCCUCCUUCCAUGUCUGUGUCGGUGUCCUUCAGUUGGAUCAAGAUUCUAGCAGGAGUUGAUGGGACUGGGGGAAGCCUUAAAGUCAUUGGAGAACUCUCCAUUUGAAUCAGCAGAGUGAGGCCAACUGGUAUACCUGUCAGUGCUGUGAGAGCCAGGUCAUGGUCUUGGACUCCAAGCUAUAGAAAAAGUUAUUAAAAAUGAGAUAUGUUUUCACGUUUCUCUCCUCUGCUGUUGAAUCUGUUCUGUGAGAAAUGUCACAAAGAUGCAGUAGUUGCGUCCUUUAUAAAGUGUUUUGAUGUUUAUUGUCUUUUCUUAUGAUUAUACAGAUAUAUUAAAUACAAAUAGUACAGAUGUUUAAGGAGAAUGUACAAUUAAUAGAGUUCAGUCUCAUGGUAACAAUGACACAUAGAACAAGAUACCCAAUGAAAAGAAAAUUAUUUUUUAAAAGUUUUUGUCAAAAAAGAGUAAGUUAAAAAUGUACUUUUGUACAGUUUAUUGUUAAGUAUAAAGACAAUAAAAGUAAAUGUAUAAUGUUGAAGGCAAAAGUGAUGUUUUGCACACACGUAAUUAGCAUCCCUGUGGGCCCUCAGCUUUCCCAUCUAUAAAAUGAUGAAGUGAACUAGAAGAACUUUCUGUCUUUAAUGUUUAUCUUUUUCUAUGUGCUUCAGGGUAUAAUUGGAGCAAUGUUAAGAUUAACCUAAUCAAUAAGUAAUUAUUAAGCUCCUGCCAAAUACUUACUAUACUAUUACUGGAGCAAGAAAUUUACUCAUGUUACAGAAAAGCAAGUCAUUUCUACUAGCUGGUGGUAACCAGUUAACUUGAGCUAAGUAUUCAUCAUGUACUGGGAUUAUGUACAUCACUCUGAAUAUUCAGGAUCUAAUGUCUAGUGCUUUUCCAUAUAUGUUCUCAUAUAAGCCAGUGUAUUACAGCCUCAAGAGCAGUUAAUGUGAUAGAACUCACUUUCAUUCUAGAGGGAAGACAGCAUGACUUGAUGUAAUUUGGAGGGCUUCUUGAAGCAUAAACCACUGAGGGGGGGUCUCAGGCUACUCUUUUGGUUUCUGGCCUUGACCUUCAUUUGCAGAGACGGGCCUUUAACUGCCUUCCCUAUGGGUUCUUUCUAUAGCACUGGAGCCCAGUGCUGUGAAGACAAGAAUCUAAAUGAGCAGAUAGUAGAGUGGCUCAGAGCCUGGGCAUUGGAGUUAAGACAUGCCUGGGUUAGAAUCCACUUACUGUGUCACCUUGGGCAGGUUUCUUAACUUCUCUGUGCUUAGUUUCCCCAUCCGUAAAGUGUAGUAUCCUAAAAUAGGGUCUUAGGACUAUGAAAGACAGAAUACAUGGGAACUUUUAGCACAGUAGCGUAUCUACACUCUAUGUCACAUGUUAGUCACUAGUAUUGUAAUUCCUGGUUUUCUGCCUCUAAAGUGUGGGGAUUUGACGCACUAUAUGGGCUCAUCUGAUAAGUUCCAGUCCAAAGAGUGGCCCAGAAUAUGUAUGAUAGAAUGUUUUUUCAUAGCUGGGUUCUUUCUCUGACUUGGGGAGGCCUAGCUCUACCUUGAGAUAUUGGGGACAUUUUUGUACUGAUAUACUCGAGAUACUGUGGGUUUGGUUCUAGGCCACCACAAUAAAGCAAGUAUUGCAAUAAAGCAAAUAUCACAAUAAAGCAAACCACAUGAAUUCUUUGGCUUCCCAGUGCAUAUAAAAGUAUGUUUAUGCUGUAGUAUAUUCUAUAGUUAUGUUAAAAAAAUCAAUGUACAUUAUCUUAAUCAAAAGUACUUUACUGCUAAAAAUGCUAACCAUCAUCUAAGGCUUCAGCAAACUGUAAUCUUUUUGCUGGUGGAGGGUCUUGCCUUGAUGUUGAUGGCUGCUGACUGAUCAGGGUGGUGGUUACCAAGGGCUGGGGUUGCUGUGGCAGUUUCUUAAAUUAGACAAUAGUCAAGUUUGCCACAUAGAUGAACUCUUCCUUUCAUGAUUUCUGCGUAGAAUUUGGUGCUGUGUGAUAAUUUUACUCACAGUAACACUUCUUUGAAAACUGGAGUCAGUCCUCUCAUACCCUGGUGCUGCCUUAUCAGCUUAGUUUAUGUCAUAUCCUAAUCUUUUGUUUUCAUUUCAAAAAGCUCUUUGAAAGAUCAAAAAGAUCUAUGAAGAUAUUCAUAGCGUCUUCAGGAGUAGAUUCCAUCUCAAGAAACCACUUUCUUUGCUUAUCCAUGAGAAGCAACUCCUCAUCCAUUGAAGUUUUAUCUUGAGAGUGUAGCAGUUCACUUACAUUGUCAGGCUGUACUUCUGAUUCUAGUUCUCUUGCUAUUUUCAUCACAUCUGCAGUUACUUCCUCCACUGAAGUCUUGAACCCCUCAAAGUCAUCCCCUCAAAGGGUUGGAGUCAGUUUCUUCCAAAUGCCUGUGAAUGUUUAUAUUUUAAUUCUUCCCAUGAAUCACAAAUGUUCUUAAUGGCAUCUAGAAUGGUUAAUCUUUUCCAGAAGGUUUCCAGUUUACUUUGCCCAGAUACAUCAGAAGAAUCACUAUUGAUAGCCUUACGAAACGUAUUUCUUAAAUAGUAAAAGUUGAAAUGAUCCACGGGCUACAAAAUGAAUGUUGUGGUUGCAGGCAUGAAAACUGCAUUCAUCUCUUCUUUCAGCAACCACCAGGUGCAUUGUCAAUGAACAGUGAUAUUUUGAAAGGAAUCUUUUUUUUUUUUCUGAGCAGCACGUCUCAACAGUGGGCUUAAGAUAUUAAGUAAACCAUGUUGUAAACAGAUGUGCUGUCAUCCAAGCUUUGUUGUUCCUUUGACAGAGCACAGGCAGAGUACAUUUAGCAUAAUUCUUAAAGGUCCUAGGAUUUUUGGAAUGAUAAAUGAACACUGGCUUCAACUUCAAGUCACAAGCUUUAUUAGCCCCUAACAAGAGAGUCCUUUGAACUUUGGAGUCAGGCAUUGACUUCUCCUCUGUAGCUAUGAAAGUCCUAGAUGACAUCUUCCAAUAGAAGGCUGUCUCGUCUACACCAAAACAUCUGUUUAGUGUAGUUAUUUUCAUGAAUUAGCUAGAUAUUCUGAAUAAUUUGCUGGAGCUUCUACGUCAGCACUUGCUUCUCACCUUGCACUUUCGUGUUACAGAGAUGGUUUCUUUCUUUAAACCUCAAGAGCCAAUCUCUGCUAACCACAACCUUUUCUUCUGCAGCUUCCUCACUUCUCUCAAUCUUUGCAGAAUUGAAGAGAGUCAGGGCCUUGCUCUGAAUUAAGCUUUGGCUUAAGGGAAUGUUAUAUCUGGUUUGAUCAUUAAGCUUUUUCUAUAUCAGUGAUGAAGCUGUUUUACUUUGUUCAAAUUUGUCUGUUCACCUGAGUAGCACUUCAUUUCCUUCAAGAACUUUUCCUUUGCAUUCAUAACUGCAACUGUUGGGCGCAAGACACCUGGCUUUUGGCUUCUCUUGGCUCUAGACAUGCCGUCCUCACUAAACUUAUUCAUGUCUAGCUUUUGAUUUAAAGUGAGAGGCUCUUCCUUUUACUUGAACAGGUAGAGGCCACCGUAAGGUUAUUAAUCGGCCUAAUUUCAAUAUCAUGUGUCUCAGGGUGUAGGGAGGCCAAAGGAGAGGGAGAGAGACAGGCAACGGCUGGCCAGUGGAGUGCUUAGAAUACACACAGCAUUUGUUAAGUUUGUUGUCUUGUAUGGGCAAAGUUCAUCCCCAAAACAAUUAUAAUAGUAACGUCAAAGAUCACUGAUCACAGAUCACUCUAACAAAUACAAUAAUAAUGAAAAAGUUUUCAAAAUGUGAAACAAAGACACAAAGUGAGCAAAUGCUGGUGGGAAAAUGGCAUAGAUAGGCUUGCGAGAUGCAGGGUUGCCUCAAACCCUUAAUUUCUAAAAAACGCAGUAACUUUGAAGCACCAUGAAAUGAAGUAUGCCUGUACUCAGCCUUUUCUCUAAAUGUGGGCAAUAUGAGAGAAUGUGUCAUUGAGUAUUUCUGGACCAUGAUCAGAUUCUCCAGUAAUUUCAUCUCUACAAAUCUCUCCAAGGGAAAUAAUUGUAGCUGGGUAAAUAUAUUUAUUGGAGCCUUACUUAACAAUAGUUAAAAAACUAGAAACAAGCGAAAUGUAUAAUAGUAGAGGAAUGGUUAAACAAAAGGUUCUAAAUUACACAUUAAAUAUCAUACAGCCAUUAAAAAUGUAUUUGAAGAAUGUUUAUAACUUGGAAACUGUUUAUAAUAGAAAAAACUCUGAUAUACAGCUGUAUAUAGAUGACUUUGUAAAUCAACUUCAAUUAAAAAACUGUAUAGUAAAACCCUGAUUGUCUUGAAUAAAUUUGUAUAUAUCUCUACAUAUAUGUGGUGAUAGUGGUGGCUUAGUUGCUAAGUUGCAUCCGACUCAUGCGACUCAUGGACUGUAGCCUCCCAGGCUCCUCUGUCCGUGGGAUUCUCCAGGCAAGGAUCCUGGAAUUGGUUGCCAUUUGCUUCUCCAGGGUAUAUACUAUGUAUUUAUGCACCCACAAAUCUAUGCAUAUAACGAAAUUGCAUAGAACUAAAUGAACACAGACAUAAACACAAAUGAAUGCAGGUAAAACUGGGGAAAUCUAAAUAGGAAUGGUUGAUUGUAUCAAUGUCAGUAUCCUUGUUGUGAUGUUUACUUUAAUUUUAUAAAAUGUUACCAUUGGGGAAAAUUGGGUAAAGGGUACAAGAGAAGUUUCUAUAUUAUUUCUUACAAUUUCAGGUGAAUCUACAAUUAUCUCAACAAAAAAUUGCAUUAAAAAAGUGGCACCAGAUCUAGGUGCCUUUACAAAUAAGUUCUGCUGAUCCUUCAAGGAACAGAUAAUUAUUCCAAAGCUUGGUUGGUUGGUUUAGUUUCUAAGUCGUGUCCAACUCUUGCGACCCCAUGGACUGCCAGGCUCCUCUGUCCAUGGGAUUUUCCACGCAAGAAUACUGGAGUGGGUUGCCAUUUCCUUCUCCAUGGGAUCGUCCCAACCCAGGAAUCGAACCCGGGUCUCCUGCAUUGCAGGCAGAUUCUUUCCCAACUGAGCUACAAGGGAAGCCCAUUCCAAAGCUUAGAGAAUGACUACAGACUGUUCUUUCUCAUUUCAUGAGGUUAGCAUUAUGUCAAAAGCAGACAAGGUAAGCACAGGAAAACAAGUGUUUGGGCCAGUUUCGAUUGUGAUCAUAGUUGCCAAAAUUUAAAAUAGAAUGUUAUCAAAUUGAGUACAGAAGCUUACUGAAAGAGUAAUGAGUUCAAGUAGGGUUUAUCCAAGGAAUGCACAACAUCAGAAAAGCAAUGCAGUUAUGGAUAGUUUAAGGGAGAUAACAAUAUGGUCAUCUCAACAAAUGCAGAAAAGCAUCUGAUAAAAGUUUAUAAAAAUAUUAAUGUAAGGGUCUAAUAUCUGGCUAGGUGAAGACUUGCUGUAGAAGGCUUGGUACAUCUGUGCUGAAGGCUCAGUUCAUUUGACAUGUUUAGGAACCAGAAGGGCCACUGUUUACUGGGUUGUUAGGCAACAGUCUGUACUUGCGUGGAUGACAGGUGUGUGACACUGGUACGUGUGGGUCAUAACGUGUAUAGAUCUAACUCACACGCAGUUGGACUUCUAGGGUUGUCACGUUUCACUUGUGUGCCUGCCCAAAUGAAGAUAACACAGGAGAUGAUACUGAAGGUUUUGGAAUCGAGUAUUCUGUGGUUCGCUUUCUGGUAUUACCACCUAAAAGCCAUAUGACCUUGGGGCGCAGUUGCUUAUCAUCUCUGAGCUCGUUUUUUUUUUUUUUUUUCAGUGUAAAAUUGGGAAUUAUAAUAUUUUGCUUUUGGGUGAAUUUUCAAGACUUGCCCCUAUAAUGACUGAACAC